AUGGACCUUUCACGUGAUGAGAAGCUCCCAGUCACCCGCUUCAUAAUUAAUGCAACGCCUGCAACUUCCAGAGCUCCCGUUCAGCACCGAUUUAAAUUCCAGAGCCUCACUGCGGUGUCCAGGAGGAGGCCGACCUGCCUCACCGGUGCGGAGCAGAGAGGGCACGGCCUUACUUUGGAUGCCACCCAUGUGCCUGUGGCGUGCACAUCGUGGAAUGGCCCUGGACCAGCAUGGCAUCAGACCUGUUUUGCAUUUGUUUCUUCUGUGGUGGAUGCAAAGAACAUGGUACAUAAUCUAAUUCACUUCUGUAAGGAAGUGCUGAGAUUCAGAGUCACAAACCAAAUUGCAACUGGCCAGCUGACAGCAUUGGUGCUGAAACCAUGGGGGAAGUCAAAAUUCUGGAAAAUAUCGUGUUCCAGUCAAGAUUACUUACAAGCUAACCAUGACAAGAAAACAGUCAAAAGAAAAGGAGAAACUGUAUUAGGUUCAACAUUAUGUGCUGAUUAUUUGUGGUCAGGAGGUGAAGAUUCAGGAGAUUGCAACAAAGCAACAAGAGGUGAUAAGAGGCAGCAAUAAAAUGACAACUACAUACAAAAAAAAAAAAAGUAACCAGACACAGACUGUGUGACAUGUAAGUGGUGGUAGAGACAAAAGAACUCUCGAUGGCCUGGAAUGGAAGAUGCCAUGAAGCCCUGUGGUUGCGAGAGAAAAAGCACAAACCAGAGCUGAAAGGAGGCCCAGAACAAGUGCAGAGAGAUAAUAAGCCUCCACACAGUAGCUAAUACAAUGACCUGGUUUUUCUUUGGCGAGAACAGAAGUUUUCUUGGACUAAAAUAAAAAUAAGUAAAAUUUAUCUGAAGGACAUGAAAAGUAGUUUUUUGUUUUUUUUUUUUUAAAGGAGAGGGCUGCAAUUUGACUCAGUGUUUCUGCUGACUAUCUCACAAGCACAACGGCCUGAGUUCUAUCCCUGAUACCAAUAAAUACAUACAUACAUAGAUAAUAAAAUCAAAGGAGAACCAACCCAAAUAAUUUUAAAAUUGUAGUUCAAUAACGAUAACUGGGGG
rnacentral:lncRNA from 1 species